CCUACGGGAGGCAGCAGUGAGGAAUAUUGGUCAAUGGACGAGAGUCUGAACCAGCCAAGUAGCGUGAAGGAUGACUGCCCUAUGGGUUGUAAACUUCUUUUAUAUGGGAAUAAAAUGUUCCACGUGUGGGAUUUUGUAUGUACCAUAUGAAUAAGGAUCGGCUAACACCGUGCCAGCAGCCGCGGUAAUACGGAGGAUCCGAGCGUUUUCCGGAUUUAUUGGGUUUAAAGGGAGCGUAGGUGGAUUGUUAAGUCAGUUGUGAAAGUUUGCGGCUCAACCGUAAAAUUGCAGUUGAAACUGGCAGUCUUGAGUACAGUAGAGGUGGGCGGAAUUCGUGGUGUAGCGGUGAAAUGCUUAGAUAUCACGAAGAACUCCGAUUGCGAAGGCAGUUCACUGGACUGCAACUGACACUGAGGCUCGAAAGUGUGGGUAUCAAACAGGAUUAGAUACCCCUGUAGUC
rnacentral:rRNA from 1 species